rnacentral:rRNA from 1 species
UACGUAGGGGGCGAGCGUUGUCCGAAGUUACUGGGCGUAAAGCGCGCGUAGGCGGGUCUUUAAGUGAGUGGUGAAAGGUUCGGGCUCAACCCGGACACUGCCUUCCAUACUGGGGACCUUGAGUGCGGGAGGGGCGAGUGGAAUGGUCGGUGUAGCGGUGAAAUGCGUAGAUAUCGAUCGGAACACCCAUGGCGAAGGCAGCUCGCUGGCCUGCAACUGACGCUGAGGCGCGAAAGCGUGGGGAGCAAACAGG